GUCUUCUAUAAUCCUCUUGGAAGGUGGUCAACAAAACUCUGGCCAUUUAGCAGUUUCCCAUAAUGCUCUUAGGAUGCUGAUCAAACCCUGCCCAAGGCCUACAAGGCUCACUGUCAGUCCGGGCUCACGGGUACGACUACCAGUCAUCCUGGCCAUUUCUGAGCCCCACAAAACAGCCUUGCUCCUUGGGGACUUGGUGCCUGUGUCCAUGCAUGUCCUCUGAUGACCCAAUUAGGAGGUGGGUCAGCUGGGUAGAUGCUUGGGGUUCGAGUCCACAAAAGGCACCAACCGCCCCCCACCCCAUCUCCCACCAAGAAAGGAGAUGAAGAAAACUCUCCUUUCUGGAGCUAUUUGGGGCAGGGGAAGAAGGUGGGACCCCCAAGGGGCAUGCUGGAGCCAGGAUGCAGGCCAUAAGACUGCCUUCUCUGGAGGACGCUGGUGAGCUGAGGCAGGUGGGUAGGUUUAAAGCCAAGGAUAAGAAGCUAGGAGGAGCAGAAGGUGAGGGUGUGGGGGUUCUGGAGCACAUCUACAAGUUUUCUGUCACAUCUCCCAUCAAGAGGGAGUUCUAGCUCCCCCGAUCAGGCUUCAGGACUACCUUAGUGAAUAGAAUGGGACAGAAAUGAUGCUGUGUGACCUCUAAGACCAGGUCAGGAAAGUCCAUGAGAUUCUAUCUGGCUUGCUCUCUCUUGGACCAUUUGCUUUAGAGGCCCGAAGCGACCAUGUGAGAGGCCACCCGGAGACAGGGACACCCAGGCAGCCACUGAGGCUUCCCAGCCCAGGCAUCAGACAUGUGAGUCAGGGAAUAUCUGGAUGAUUCUAGACCACCCACUGCCUGCAUAACUGUGAGAGACCCGCGUGAGAAACACAAGCUGGCCCUGUCCACCUCCAGACCAUGAGGAUAACAGUGAAAUGAUGGCUGUUUUAAGUCACCAAAUUUGGGGAUGAUUUCUUACGCAGCAGUAGUGAUGAGGCCAGAGACUUUGUCUUGCUCCCUACUCUUCUGUCCUCAGUACCAAAAACAGUACCUGGCCCAGGUAAUCAAUCGAUGUCUGCUGGAUGGCUGAAUGAAUGGACAGAUGAAUGUGCAGAGGAGAGGCUCACUACAGUCACCGGCAAUCCAUCCUUUCUGCCUUCCCCCAGCCAGCAGGCUGCUAUCUCUCCUCUGCCUCUCCACCUUUCCACACAGCUAACUCACCAUCAGCCUUCGGACCCCAGCUCAAAGAUCAUUUUCUCAGGGAAGCUGCCCUUGAACUCCCCUGUCUAGAUCAGGGUCCUGUCUGACACUCUCAAGUCAUUCUGUAUCUCUCCUUCAGGACACUCUCCGGGACUAUUAGUACAUAAUCAAACAACUACACUGAAAAGCUAGCUGGCUGUCUCCUGUGACUCACUACAAACCAUCGUACAGCAGCGAUAGGGUCUGUCUGUUCACAAGCGUGCCUCUGGUGGACAAAGCCUAGCACAGACCUGGCUGACUGUGUGUCAGAACAUUUCUGGAGACUGGUAACAUAUACAGCUCAGCUGUUUUGACUCACAAUACUUCUGACACCAAACGUUGUUUUUUUUUUUUUUUCCCCCUACACCAACCAAUUCUCCAACUCUGUGGACACCAGCUGGGUGUCCUACAAUUCAAUUCUGACACCGACUACCCCAAAUUAAUGUCGGACUCCACAGGUUGAAGGACUCAGUUCCAAAGACUGCCCCCACUUCAGAUGCCAGUUACAAGCACCGGGUCCCCAAAUUACCCACUUUUGUCUAAUCUAGUUACAAAGUCAGAGGUGGGGCCUCCCACAGCCCCUCCCCCUUUCAGGUUCAAUAAUUUGCUACAACAGCUCACAAAACUGGAGAACAUUUUACUUGCUGUCACCAUAGAUUUAUUAUAUAAAGGAUACAACUCAGGAACAGCCAAAUGGAAGGAAUGCACAGGGCAAGGUGUGGGGCCAGGGCACAGGGCUUCCAUGCUCUCUCCAGGCAUGCUGCCCUCCUAGCACGCGGAUGUGCUGCCAACCCGGAAGCUCUCUAAAUCUCCGCUGUUGAGAGGUUUUUAUAGAGGUCUCCUUUCAUCUAUGACGGACUAAAUCAUAGGCCAUUGGUGGGGCUUAAAGUCCAAACCUCUAAUGGUGCUUUGGCCUUCCAGGCAACCAGCUCCCAUCCAGAAGCUUAUCUAACCCCCUCUCCUGACCCCCAGACCAGCAGUCAUUAGCACCUAAAAGAUACUCUUAGCACUCUGGAGAUUCCGUGUUCCAGGAGCUGCGUGCUCUGAACUGGGGGGCAAAGACCAAAUAUUUAUUUUUUAUACCAUCCUACUAUUAGACAGUGCUCAUUUUUAUUGUUCUCAAUAAUACUGAGCUACAAUUGGCCUCUAACUACUAGCCUACCCUCCAUCAGGCUGUCCAAAGCCACUCACACCCUGGUCAUUCACACCACACAGACCCCCGGGAACAGGUCUGAGUGUCUUCUUCAGGUUUACACACAGCUGUCGGGGGAAGAGCCGGAAUCUGAAGCCAACUCUUCAGACUUGACAGUUCAACACGAUGUCCCUCACACCACCCUGCCUCCCGGAUGUCUCCGCCGAUGUGAGAUGCUCUGGGAGCAUCAUAAUCUCCUUAUCCAAAACAACAACAACAACAACAACAACAACAACAAAGCUGUGCACUUUUAAUGGAGCACACGAAACAGGCGCUGGAGAUUAAGGACUUAAAUAAACUAAGAUAAAGAACAUUCCAGGUCAUCUGCACCGUUCAGUGAAAUAGCACCCCUGAACAAGUGAGCUUUUGAAGACCAUGCAAUGACCCAGAAAAUGUGAACAUUUUAAUGUGACUUAAUGUGAAAAACUAAAAAAGGAUACAGAGCCAUGCCCUGCACGACCCAUUUUUUUUUUUUAAUGUGUGUAUGUAUAUGCUUGGAAAAGCUGGAUGGAAAGAAAUACAAAUUUAAAAAUGACAUCGUAUGUCUCACCCUUCAGAUUGGCAAAAAAAUAAAAAGAUCAUCCGUC